UACGUAGGGUGCGAGCGUUGUCCGGAUUUAUUGGGCGUAAAGAGCGUGUAGGCGGCCAGGUAGGUCAGCUGUGAAAACUCGAGGCUCAACCUCGAGACGUCGGUUGAAACCAUCUGGCUAGAGUCCGGAAGAGGAGAGUGGAAUUCCUGGUGUAGCGGUGAAAUGCGCAGAUAUCAGGAAGAACACCCGUGGCGAAGGCGGCUCUCUGGGACGGUACUGACGCUGAGACGCGAAAGCGUGGGGAGCGAACAGG
rnacentral:rRNA from 1 species